rnacentral:rRNA from 1 species
UACGUAGGGGGCAAGCGUUAUCCGGAUUCACUGGGUGUAAAGGGAGCGUAGACGGCCAUGCAAGCCUGGAGUGUAAGCCCGGGGCCCAACCCCGGGACUGCUCUGGGAACUGUGCGGCUGGAGUGCGGGAGGGGCAGGCGGAAUUCCUAGUGUAGCGGUGAAAUGCGUAGAUAUUAGGAGGAACACCAGUGGCGAAGGCGGCCUGCUGGACGGUGACUGACGCUGAGGCUCGAAAGCGUGGGGAGCAAACAGG